UACGUAGGGUGCAAGCGUUGUCCGGAAUUAUUGGGCGUAAAGAGCUCGUAGGCGGUUUGUUGCGUCGGCUGUGAAAUCCCGAGGCUCAACCUCGGGUCUGCAGUCGAUACGAGCAAACUAGAGUGUUGCAGGGGAGACUGGGAAUUCCUGGUGUAGCGGUGAAAUGCGCAGAUAUCAGGAGGAACACCGGUGGCGAAGGCGGGUCUCUGGGCCACUACUGACGCUGAGAAGCGAAAGCAUGGGGAGCGAACAGG
rnacentral:rRNA from 1 species